rnacentral:misc_RNA from 1 species
UUUAAAUAUGAGAGCAGCGAAGGAUAAGUAAGGAUGCAGAUUCCGGAAUCAUGAAUCUUUGACGCACAUUGCGCCCCCUGGCAUUCCGGGGGGCAUGCCUGUUCGAGCGUCAUUUCAACCCCUCAAGCCCGGCUUGUGUGAUGGACGACCCGUCCCCCCUCCCCAGUAACCACCCACCGCUUAGGGGGGUGGGAGGGAGGGGGACGCGCCCGAAAAGCAGUGGUCAGGCCGCGAUUCCGGCUCCUGGGCGAAUGGGACAUACCACCGCCUCCAGGACCGGCCGGCAGGCUGGCCUAACGCACCAUGUAUUAUAUCAGGUUGACCUCGGAUCAGGUA